rnacentral:lncRNA from 1 species
AUUGUGGUGGCUUUCAAUCAUAGCUUCAUUACUAGGUCUAAUCAUAUCCAAGUAAUGGCUUUCAAUUAGAAUAUCCUAAAUAAUUUGUUGCACAAAAUGAUAGAACCAUCAUAUAUAGUGGCGCUACAGCAAGGAACAUGGCAGAAUUUAACAAAAACUAUAGAAACAUAUAUCUUACUAUGAUUUUUAGUAACAACCUCUUGCAAA